rnacentral:rRNA from 1 species
UACGGGGGGGGGCAAGCGUUGUUCGGAAUUACUGGGCGUAAAGGGCUCGUAGGUGGCCAACUAAGUCAUACGUGAAAUCCCUCAGCUUAACUGGGGAACUGCGUGUGAUACUGGAUGGCUUGGAUUUGGGAGAGGGAUGCGGAAUUCCAGGUGUAGCGGUGAAAUGCGUAGAUAUCUGGAGGAACACCGGUGGCGAAGGCGGCAUCCUGGACCAAUAUUGACGCUGAGGAGCGAAAGCCAGGGGAGCAAACGGG